rnacentral:rRNA from 1 species
GUUUGAUCCUGGCUCAGGACGAACGCUGGCGGCGUGCCUCAAACAUGCAAGUCGAGCGAAGUGAGACUGACCCGCAAGGGGAAGUCGAACUUAGCGGCGAACGGGUGAGUAACACGUGGGCAACCUGCCCUUAAGACUGGGAUAACGGCUCGAAAGGGUCGCUAAUACCGGAUAAUGUCGAGAUUUCGCAUGAAGUUUCGAAGAAAGGGGAAACCCGCUUUUGGAUGGACUCGCGUCCCAUCAGCUAGUUGGUAGGGUAACUGCCUACCAAGGCAACGACGGGUAAGCCGUCUGAGAAGAUGAACGGCCACACUGGGACUGAGAUACGCCCAGACUCCUACGGGAGGCAGCAGUUGGGAAUCUUAGGCAAUGGACGGAAGUCUGACCUAGCGACGCCGCGUGAGGGAAGAAGGCCUUCGGGUCGUAAACCUCUGUCAUUGGGGACGAAGAAAGUGACGGUACCCAAGGAGGAAGCCCCUGCUAACUACGUGCCAGCAGCCGCGGUAAUACGUAGGGGGCUAGCGUUGUCCGGAGUUACUGGGCGUAAAGGGCGAGUAGGCGGCUUGUUAAGUCAGGUGUGAAAUUCCAAGGCUCAACCUUGGAACUGCGCUUGAAACUGGCAGGCUUGAGGGCAGGAGAGGGAAGUAGAAUCCCCGGUGUAGCGGUGAAAUGCGUAGAUAUCGGGGGGAAUACCAGUGGCGAAGGCGGCUUCCUGGACUGUACCUGACGCUGAGGAGCGAAAGCUAGGGGAGCAAACAGGAUUAGAUACCCUGGUAGUCCUAGCUGUAAACGAUGAGUGCUAGGUGGUGGGGGGGUUGAAAUCCCCCCCCGUGCCGGAGUUAACACAAUAAGCACUCCGCCUGGGGAGUACGGCCGCAAGGCUAAAACUCAAAGGAAUUGACGGGGGGCCCGCACAAGCAGUGGAGCGUGUGUUUAAUUCGACGCACGCGCAAGCUUACCAGGGCUUGACAUCGUGGUGACAGCCGAAGAAACUCGGUUUUCCGUAGCAAUACGGACGCCAUGACAGGUGUUGCAUGGUUGUCGUCAGCUCGUGUCGUGAGAUGUUGGUUAAGUCCGCACGAGGCACCCCAUUCAGUGUGCUAACGGUAUGCAUGUGCACUCCUGAGACUGCGGAGACGAUCCGGAGGAGGUGGGAGUGACUCAAAUCAUCAUGGGCCUUAUGCCUGGGCCACACACGCGCUACAAUGGCCGGUACAACGGGCAGCAAUAGAGCAAUCUGGAGCGAAUCCUAUAAAGCCGGUCUCAGUUGGAAUCGGGGGCUGAAACUCGCCCCCGUGAACAUGGAAUUGCUAGUAAUCGCGGAUCAGCUACGCCGCGGUGAAUACGUUCCCGGGCCUUGUACACACCGCCCGUCAAGCCAUGGGAGUUGGCAA